rnacentral:rRNA from 1 species
UACGUAGGGCGCAAGCGUUAUCCGGAAUUAUUGGGCGUAAAGAGCUCGUAGGCGGUUUGUCGCGUCUGCCGUGAAAGUCCGGGGCUCAACUCCGGAUCUGCGGUGGGUACGGGGCAGACUAGAGUGAUGUAGGGGAGACUGGAAAUUCCUGGUGUAGCGGUGAAAAUGCGCAGAUAUCAGGAGGAACACCGAUGGCGAAGGCAGGUCUCUGGGCAUUAACUGACGCUGAGGAGCGAAAGCAUGGGGAGCGAACAGG